rnacentral:misc_RNA from 1 species
UGAUGCUGCUGCAACUAAGCUUCAAAAAGUUUAUAAGAGUUAUCGGACUAGAAGAAAUCUUGCAGAUUGUGCAGUUGUGGUUGAAGAGCUCUGGUGGAAGGCCUUAGAUUUUGCAGCUCUGAAAAGGAGCUCAGUAUCAUUCUUCAACGUUGAGAAACAUGAAACUGCUGUGUCAAAGUGGGCAAGGGCUACCACAAGGGCAGCCAAGGUUGGGAAGGGUUUGAGCAAGGAUGAGAAAGCUCAAAAGUUAGCCCUGCAACACUGGCUUGAAGCUAUUGAUCCACGCCAUCGUUAUGGACACAAUUUACAUUUGUAUUAUGAUGUUUGGAAGUAAUAGCAAGAGCACUCAACCUUUCUUUUACUGGUUGGACAUUGGUGAUGGGAAGGAAGCAAACCUGGAGAAGUGUCCAAGGACUGUUCUACAACACCAAUGCAUCAAAUAUCUUGGACCAAAAGAGAGGGAAACAUAUGAAGUAACCGUGGAGGAUGGGAAGCUCUUGUACCGCCAAACUGGAUCACUUAUUAAUACGACUGGAGGUUCUAAGUGGAUUUUUGUGCUGAGCACGUCAAGAGCAUUGUAUGUGGGGCAGAAGAAGAAAGGUGCUUUUCAGCACUCAAGUUUCCUAUCUGGGGGAGCUACAAUAGCUGCUGGAAGAUUGGUAGCCACUGAUGGGGUUCUUGAGGCAAUAUGGCCAUAUAGUGGUCACUAUCUCCCGACUGAGGACAAUUUUAAAGAAUUCAUCAGUUUCCUUGAGGAGCAUAACGUGGACUUGGCAAAUGUCAAGAGGUGUGCAGUAGAUGAUGAUGAUGCUUCAUCUAAGAUAGCCGGCGACGAGUCCAAGUCAAUGAUAGAGGAGAAGAAGGGUCAACUAGACACAAAAGCUGUUGAGGUCAAUAUAUCUAUAAAUUCUACAAGCAACAAUAAUCAAGAAGAAAGUAAAGGAGCUCCAGCAGCCGAAUUUGAAGCACCAGUAAUAUUUGACGCGACCAAGAGGUUGUCAUGCAAGUGGACAAGUGGGGUUGGUCCUAGAAUUGGGUGUGUGAGGGACUACCCACCAGAGCUGCAAUCUCGGGCACUCGAGCAAGUCAACUUAUCGCCUAGGGUCAGCCCUGGCCACUAUCCAAUCUGUGUUCCAAUCCCUUCACCGCGGCCUAGCCCGAAGUUUCGAGUCUCGCCUAGACUUGCGUAUAUGGGUCUCCCCAGCCCGAGGGUACCAGUUAGCUCUGCAAGUUAGAUAGGG